rnacentral:rRNA from 1 species
GAUGAACGCUGGCGGCGUGCCUAAUACAUGCAAGUCGAGCGAACGGACGAGAAGCUUGCUUCUCUGAUGUUAGCGGCGGACGGGUGAGUAACACGUGGAUAACCUACCUAUAAGACUGGGAUAACUUCGGGAAACCGGAGCUAAUACCGGAUAAUAUUUUGAACCGCAUGGUUCAAAAGUGAAAGACGGUCUUGCUGUCACUUAUAGAUGGAUCCGCGCUGCAUUAGCUAGUUGGUAAGGUAACGGCCUACCAAGGCAACGAUGCAUAGCCGACCUGAGAGGGUGAUCGGCCACACUGGAACUGAGACACGGUCCAGACUCCUACGGGAGGCAGCAGUAGGGAAUCUUCCGCAAUGGGCGAAAGCCUGACGGAGCAACGCCGCGUGAGUGAUGAAGGUCUUCGGAUCGUAAAACUCUGUUAUUAGGGAAGAACAUAUGUGUAAGUAUCUGUGCACAUCUUGACGGUACCUAAUCAGAAAGCCACGGCUAACUACGU